UUGUGUUGCCUGGGAGGUGACAGGGGAAUUUGUCCUCUUUUGUAAUAAUUGGGCACGAUUUGGCCCAUUAAUGGCGUAGUGGAGAAUAAGGCCGGAUCAGACCGGAGUCAGGGAGUUGUCGCGGUUGAUCGGACCCAUUGGAGUGGUUGAACCGUCGGCCGUAGUGGGCCUGGGGUUCGUGGAUGGUAAGUGCAUUUAUUACCGAGUGAACCGGCGGUCAGGGAGAGCCAU
rnacentral:lncRNA from 1 species